AAAACGGCCCUUUUAAGGGCCACUUGAAACAGAACCAUGAUUAAUU
rfam:Macrostomum lignano uti_cns_0006617, whole genome shotgun sequence.